AUGUUGAGUGUAAAGCUGUCAGUAGGAGGAGCAACUCAGAGCUCCUGUCAGAGUGAACUUGGUGCAGAUGAAGCUCCCAGUUCCUCCCAGUUCCUCAGCACUGCAGACAUGAGCUCUCUGUUCAUCUCAGUGCUGCUGGCUGCUGUGGGCCUCGAAUGCAGAGCACAGACAGACAGCGUGCUGCAACCAGAUGGAGACAUGACUGCUGCUGAAGGAGACACUGGAACUCUGGCCUGUCUGUAUAACACCAGUUCAUCCAACCAUUACCUCUACUGGUACAAACAGGAAGGAAGCAGCAGUCCCCAAUUCAUCCUGAGUCGCUUUAAGGUUGGAGAGGGGAAAACAGUGGAGAAGGAGAGAUUUUCAUCCAGUCUGGAUUCUGCUGUUAGAUCAGUUCCUCUCAGGAUCCAGGAUCUCCAUCUGUCUGACUCUGCUGUGUACUACUGCGCUCUGCAGCCCACAGUGACAGGAAACACCACAACCCUGUACAACAACCUGGUAUACCUCCCAACAUCCACUAGAGGGCCCACACACUGCUCCCCCUCCAUGAUUUGCUAGGAUUUAGUCUGAUUCUGUCUGAAAAAGACAUCUUUGUCUGUAGUUCAUCACUGAACUGUUAGGACCUCAGCAGCAGAAACCAGGAUGUGCUUCUGAUGAAUCAUUGGAGAUAAAAAGAACAACA